GAUGUUAUUGCUAGGAUGAAAGCAUAUAGUAGCAUCACUAAAGUAAAAAGAUUUUUAGUAGCUUGUAUCUUCUAUUAAAUUUGGAUUCUCUACUUUGCUCACAUUACUCAAUCAUUAUAUAAUUUCUUAAGAAAAGGAAAAAAAUUCAAAUGGAGUCAGAAGUAAGAACUAGCUAUAGAAGAUUUUAAAGAAAUUUUAAAGUUUUUAUCAAUUUUGAAGCAAAUUGACUAUGAUUGUAGCAUAUCAAUUAUUUUUACAAUUGACACAAGUCCAAUUAUUAUUGGUUGAGCUAAUAGUUAAGAUGAUAUAAAAGAGGAAAGAUAUGUCAUUAGAUUUGAUACAAAAAUUUUUACAAAUAGAUAAAGAGGAUAUCCACAAGUUAAAAAGAGCUUUUGGGAGUAC
rnacentral:lncRNA from 1 species